GCCCAAGACCUCCGUGUUCUCCCAGCUUUGUAAAGCCCCGCUGCAGCUUCGGUUAAAGCCCCUGGAAGGGGCCGGGCUAAAACCAGAAGAGAAAAGCAGAGGGACGGAUGUGUUCUCAGACUCUGCGAGUUGCUCAAACCGGGUCUCUGCUCCUGUGAUCACCCGGCUGAUAGGGGAGUGUUAUUCAGAUAAUUCCCCCAAACGCUUUCCCUUGCAGAUCAGUGCCUGUACUCUACUGGAGCAAACUGAGGCCCAGAGAGGGGAAGAGACUUGCCGAAGGUCACACAGCAACUUUGUGCUGAAGCCCAGGCUACAUUGCCCGACUGUGCAGCCAUCAGCACUGGUGUAGGGCUUGGAAGAGAAGGAUGCUGGAGCAGGUCCCAGUGCAGCUCGGGCGGCAGAAAGUCCCAGCUCUGGGCUCUGGGAGGCUAUGGACAUAAUAAGUCUUCGCUGGGGGAAGACUCCCUCCCCCUCCAAACAUACCCACUUCCGGUCCCUGAAGCCGAGGAGGGAGUCCCUGCCAGGGCUUUGGAAACCCUGAGUAAUGGACAGGGGAGCCUCUGCCCUGCUCCACCCAGCGAUGGCUGCUGUCUGCGGCAGGGAGCCACUGAGAAGAGAAACCACACACGUGGGAGGCACAGAUUUUUUAGAGGCAGAACUGGAGCCCAGACUCUGAAGCUGAAGGGAAAACUGGGGCUCCCAAAAAAGUAAAUAAUAAUAUGCUAUUUGUAAUAUAAUAUUGUACUAUAAAUAACAUAUUAUUUCUGUAUUGUAUUGAGCACACAGUAUGUACCAAACACUACAACGUACUAAAUUUGUGUCAUUUAACUCCCACAAGCCUAGGAAGCUGGGCAUAAAUA